rnacentral:rRNA from 1 species
CUGCAAGUCGAACGGUGAAGCAGAGCUUGCUCUGUGGAUCAGUGGCGAACGGGUGAGUAACACGUGAGCAACCUGCCCCGGACUCUGGGAUAACAGUUGGAAACAGCUGCUAAUACCGGAUACGAGCUGCGAAGGCAUCUUCAGCAGUUGGAAAGAAUUUCGGUCUGGGAUGGGCUCGCGGCCUAUCAGCUUGUUGGUGAGGUAAUGGCUCACCAAGGCGUCGACGGGUAGCCGGCCUGAGAGGGUGACCGGCCACACUGGGACUGAGACACGGCCCAGACUCCUACGGGAGGCAGCAGUGGGGAAUAUUGCACAAUGGGCGAAAGCCUGAUGCAGCAACGCCGCGUGAGGGAUGACGGCCUUCGGGUUGUAAACCUCUUUUAGCAGGGAAGAAGCGAAAGUGACGGUACCUGCAGAAAAAGCGCCGGCUAACUACGUGCCAGCAGCCGCGGUAAUACGUAGGGCGCAAGCGUUAUCCGGAAUUAUUGGGCGUAAAGAGCUCGUAGGCGGUUUGUCGCGUCUGCUGUGAAAUCCCGAGGCUCAACCUCGGGCCUGCAGUGGGUACGGGCAGACUAGAGUGCGGUAGGGGAGAUUGGAAUUCCUGGUGUAGCGGUGGAAUGCGCAGAUAUCAGGAGGAACACCGAUGGCGAAGGCAGAUCUCUGGGCCGUAACUGACGCUGAGGAGCGAAAGGGUGGGGAGCAAACAGGCUUAGAUACCCUGGUAGUCCACCCCGUAAACGUUGGGAACUAGUUGUGGGGUCCAUUCCACGGAUUCCGUGACGCAGCUAACGCAUUAAGUUCCCCGCCUGGGGAGUACGGCCGCAAGGCUAAAACUCAAAGGAAUUGACGGGGACCCGCACAAGCGGCGGAGCAUGCGGAUUAAUUCGAUGCAACGCGAAGAACCUUACCAAGGCUUGACAUAUAGAGGAAACGGCUGGAAACAGUCGCCCCGCAAGGUCUCUAUACAGGUGGUGCAUGGUUGUCGUCAGCUCGUGUCGUGAGAUGUUGGGUUAAGUCCCGCAACGAGCGCAACCCUCGUUCUAUGUUGCCAGCACGUAAUGGUGGGAACUCAUGGGAUACUGCCGGGGUCAACUCGGAGGAAGGUGGGGAUGACGUCAAAUCAUCAUGCCCCUUAUGUCUUGGGCUUCACGCAUGCUACAAUGGCCGGUACAAAGGGCUGCAAUACCGUGAGGUGGAGCGAAUCCCAAAAAGCCGGUCCCAGUUCGGAUUGAGGUCUGCAACUCGACCUCAUGAAGUCGGAGUCGCUAGUAAUCGCAGAUCAGCAACGCUGCGGUGAAUACGUUCCCGGGUCUUGUACACACCGCCCGUCAAGUCAUGAAAGUCGGUAACACCUGAAGCCGGUGGCCCAACCCUUGUGGAGGGAGCCGUCGAAGGG